rnacentral:rRNA from 1 species
UACGUAGGGGGCGAGCGUUGUCCGGAAUUAUUGGGCGUAAAGAGCGUGUAGGCGGCUAGGCAGGUCUGCUGUGAAAACUCGCGGCUCAACCUCGAGACGUCGGCGGAAACCAUCUGGCUAGAGUCCGGAAGAGGAGAGUGGAAUUCCUGGUGUAGCGGUGAAAUGCGCAGAUAUCAGGAAGAACACCCGUGGCGAAGGCGGCGCUCUGGGACGGUACUGACGCUGAGACGCGAAGGCCAGGGGAGCAAACGGA